rnacentral:rRNA from 1 species
AACGAACGCUGGCGGCAGGCUUAACACAUGCAAGUCGAACGCCCCGCAAGGGGAGUGGCAGACGGGUGAGUAACGCGUGGGAACGUACCUUUCAGUUCGGAAUAACUCAGGGAAACUUGUGCUAAUACCGGAUACGCCCGCAAGGGGAAAGAUUUAUCGCUGAAAGAUCGGCCCGCGUUGGAUUAGCUAGUUGGUGGGGUAAAGGCCUACCAAGGCGACGAUCCAUAGCUGGUCUGAGAGGAUGAUCAGCCACACUGGGACUGAGACACGGCCCAGACUCCUACGGGAGGCAGCAGUGGGGAAUAUUGGACAAUGGGCGAAAGCCUGAUCCAGCCAUGCCGCGUGUGUGAUGAAGGCCUUAGGGUUGUAAAGCACUUUCACCGAUGAAGAUAAUGACGGUAGUCGGAGAAGAAGCCCCGGCUAACUUCGUGCCAGCCGCCGCAGUAA